AAGCAAGUGGACAGCUCAACAAACUCACCAAAUCCCUCCAGGCAACAGUGACAAACUUCGACCUGUUUGAGAUUGUCAAUGUAAAAUGGAAAGAUGACCUCGCAAAAUAUAGCUGUCGUACCGACUUAGCUGCGAUAAGACGCCUUACAUAUGGUUUUAAACAUGUUAGAUAUCCACUUUAUGUUCGAGUUAGCUCGCUAAUUUUUUUAUCGAUCUGUUACAAGGGAAAAUGCUAUUUCUAAAUUGUACAAAAUAUUUUAUUCUUCUUUCUAUGUAAAGUUAUAGUACGUUNCGACGGAAUUCUUCUCGUUAGAAUAAAAAGAAAUACUUAAAUUAAACAUUUGUUUUUCUUGCGACUUUCAUGUUAUAAAACACUUUGUAUUUACU
rnacentral:misc_RNA from 1 species